UACGAAGGGGGCUAGCGUUGUUCGGAAUUACUGGGCGUAAAGCGCGCGCAGGCGGUCUUCCAAGUCAGUGGUGAAAGCCUGGAGCUCAACUCCAGAACUGCCAUUGAAACUGUUAGACUUGAGUACGAGAGAGGUGAGUGGAAUUCCCAGUGUAGAGGUGAAAAUUCGUAGAUAUUGGGAAGAACACCAGUGGCGAAGGCGGCUCACUGGCUCGUAACUGACGCUCAGGCGCGACAGCGUGGGGAUCGAAAACAGAA
rnacentral:rRNA from 1 species